AGUGAACGCUGGCGGUAGGCCUAACACAUGCAAGUCGAACGGCAGCACAGUAAGAGCUUGCUCUUACGGGUGGCGAGUGGCGGACGGGUGAGGAAUACAUCGGAAUCUACUUUUUCGUGGGGGAUAACGUAGGGAAACUUACGCUAAUACCGCAUACGACCUACGGGUGAAAGCAGGGGAUCUUCGGACCUUGCGCGAUUGAAUGAGCCGAUGUCGGAUUAGCUAGUUGGCGGGGUAAAGGCCCACCAAGGCGACGAUCCGUAGCUGGUCUGAGAGGAUGAUCAGCCACACUGGAACGUAGACACGGUCCAGACUCCUACGGGAGGCAGCAGUGGGGAAUAUUGGACAAUGGGCGCAAGCCUGAUCCAGCCAUACCGCGUGGGUGAAGAAGGCCUUCGGGUUGUAAAGCCCUUUUGCUGGGAAAGAAAAGCAGCAGGUUAAUACCCCGCUGUUCUGACGGUACCCAAAGAAUAAGCACCGGCUAACUUCGUG
rnacentral:rRNA from 1 species